rnacentral:ncRNA from 1 species
UUAACGCUGAGAUACGAUGUCGAGCUACUACGGUAGUGAAGUCAUUGAUGCCAUGCUUCCAGGAAAAGCCUCUAAGCUUCAGAUUAUAAGAAAUCGUACCCCAAACCGACACAGGUGGUCGGGUAGAGAAUACCAAGGCGCUUGAGAGAACUCGGGUGAAGGAACUAGGCAAAAUGGUACCGUAACUUCGGGAGAAGGUACGCUCUUGACGGUGAAGUCCCUUGCGGAUGGAGCUAUUGAGAGUCGCAGAUACCAGGUGGCUGCAACUGUUUAUUAAAAACACAGCACUGUGCAAAAUCGUAAGAUGACGUAUACGGUGUGACGCCUGCCCGGUGCCGGAAGGUUAAUUGAUGGGGUUAGACUUCGGUCGAAGCUCUUGAUCGAAGCCCCGGUAAACGGCGGCCGUAACUAUAACGGUCCUAAGGUAGCGAAAUUCCUUGUCGGGUAAGUUCCGACCUGCACGAAUGGCGUAAUGAUGGCCACGCUGUCUCCACCCGAGACUCAGUGAAAUUGAAAUCGCUGUGAAGAUGCAGUGUACCCGCGGCUAGACGGAAAGACCCCGUGAACCUUUACUACAGCUUGGCACUGAACAUUGACCCUACAUGUGUAGGAUAGGUGGGAGCCUUUGAAGCACGUACGCCAGUAUGUGUGGAGGCAAUCUUGAAAUACCACCCUUGUAUGCUUGAUGUUCUAACGUUGGUCCCUUAUCGGGAUUACGGACAGUGCCUGGUGGGUAGUUUGACUGGGGCGGUCUCCUCCCAAAGAGUAACGGAGGAGCACGAAGGUGGGCUAAACACGGUUGGACAUCGUGUGGUUAGUGCAAUGGCAUAAGCCCGCUUAACUGCGAGAAUGACGGUUCGAGCAGGUACGAAAGUAGGUCAUAGUGAUCCGGUGGUUCUGUAUGGAAGGGCCAUCGCUCAACGGAUAAAAGGUACUCCGGGGAUAACAGGCUGAUACCGCCCAAGAGUUCAUAUCGACGGCGGUGUUUGGCACCUCGAUGUCGGCUCAUCACAUCCUGGGGCUGAAGUCGGUCCCAAGGGUAUGGCUGUUCGCCAUUUAAAGUGGUACGCGAGCUGGGUUUAGAACGUCGUGAGACAGUUCGGUCCCUAUCUGCCGUGGGCGUUGGAAAAUUGAAAGGGGCUGCUCCUAGUACGAGAGGACCGGAGUGGACGAACCUCUGGUGUUCGGGUUGUCAUGCCAAUGGCAUUGCCCGGUAGCUAAGUUCGGAAUCGAUAACCGCUGAAAGCAUCUAAGCGGGAAG